UGCUGGUCUCCUUUCACAAUUAUUGGU
rnacentral:piRNA from 1 species